rnacentral:rRNA from 1 species
UAAAGCUAAAGAGCCUCUAAGCCGUCGCACGCAUUCCGAGAGCUCGAAGCCCAAACACGAAAGUAGCUUUAAAAUAAAAUACACCUGACCCCACGAAAGCUAAGAAACAAACUGGGAUUAGAUACCCCACUAUGCUUAGCCUUAAACCAAGAUGUACAUUUACAUACGCAUCCGCCCGGGUACUACGAGCAUAGCUUAAAACCCAAAGGACUUGGCGGUGCCUCAGACCCACCUAGAGGAGCCUGUUCUAGAACCGAUAAACCCCGUUAAACCUCACCACUUCUUGUUUUUCCCGCCUAUAUACCGCCGUCGUCAGCUUACCCCGUGAAGGCCUAAUAGUAAGCAAAAUUGGUACAUCCAAAAACGCCAGGUCGAGGUGUAGCGAAUGAAGUGGGAAGAAAUGGGCUACAUUUUCUAUAGACAGAAUACUACGAAUGGCAUCCUGAAAUACAUGCCUGAAGGUGGAUUUAGUAGUAAAAAGCAAAUAGUGUGUCCUUUUGAACUAGGCUCUGAGGCGCGCACACACCGCCCGUCACUC